UAGCCGUAAACGAUACUCGCUAGGUGUCGGCCACGGUGCGACCGUUGUCGGUGCCGUAGGGAAGCCGUGAAGCGAGCCACCUGGGAAGUACGGCCGCAAGGCUGAAACUUAAAGGAAUUGGCGGGGGAGCACAACAACGGGUGGAGCUUGCGGUUUAAUUGGAUUCAACGCCGGAAAUCUUACCGGGACCGACAGCAACAUGAAGGCCAAGCUGAAGACUUUGCCGGAUUAGCUGAGAGGAGGUGCAUGGCGU
rnacentral:rRNA from 1 species